rnacentral:lncRNA from 1 species
AAAGGUUCUGAAAAGGAAAAGCACCAGCGCCACCCGCCCCCUCCCGCCCGCGUCUUCCACGCCUCGCAUAGAAUUUUCGCUCCUUGUUCCUAGCUGUGCGCUGCGCCCCUCGAGUCCGAGCUGGGUUCGGAAGGGAGAUGCUGCUGGCCUGGGGUUGGGCGGGUCCCCGAGCGCCAGGAGAAGAUCCCGAGGGAUGCGGCAGCAGCUGCGAGGAUCCCGGUCUGGACGCGGCAGCUCUGGCGCCCUAAGCCCGGGUCCUGGCCCUGGAGGGAGCAGGGCGGACAGGUCCCUGCUCAGAGCCCAGAGCACCUAGGGAGGCGGCUCCAGCACCUCCACUGGCCUUCUCCCUCUUCCCUAAACCAAAAGGAAAGCCAAAUCUAAAGGGGCUGCAUACGUCGCCUCAGGACACUAGGCAACCCAGGGUCCGCGCAGAAGGUUGUGAAGAGGCAAGUCCUUUGGGCUCCCGCCUCUUGCCUUCCGAAUGGCGCGGUUCGGGGUGCUUUGUGGCGGACUAGACGUUCCUUGCUGGAGUCUGCGUCCGAGUCCCACCGGGGCUCUGGAAGCAGGACUGCGAGAGCUUGGAGCUCCCGGGGGGGUGGACGGGGAGGGGGGGCACUUGAGAUCUGGGCAGCGUCCGCCAGGCGCAGCCGGGAAGCGGUGGGCAUCUAGUACCCCGACGUCUUAGGCAGGCGCUCGGCAGGAUCACUUUAAAGCCUCUGCAAACUUUCCCCUGCCUUUCCGAUCCCAGCAGGCCGUCGGCCCCUGUAAAAACAUGACGUUGCAGAGCUCCCCGGUAGGCGCUUGGACCCCGGAUAGAGUGGCUAGAGUGGCAUGGAAUUGGGUUUGGGGCACCCUGCCUGGCCCUGACCGGGCAUUUCACCUCGCCUGACUCCCCUCUCCGGUGCCACCCUCACCCACUUGACUGUGGGGCAGCCUGAAGCACUCUGGGUGGCCAGGUUCAGAGUUUACACGAGGUUGGGAAUGCCAGGGGCAAGUACAGAGCGGCGAAGGAGAGAGAGUGGGGGAUCGCCUCUUGAGGAGGUCGCUAAUGGCGAAAGUUGCGGGGGGUGUGUGUGUGUGUCUCAUUUUGGCCCAAUCUGCCCACUAAGGAGUCUACAACAGUCUCUCCCAAGGCGGAGCUGAAAGAGAAAACAAACAACAUAUUGAGCAACCUGUGCGCCAACAUCUGAGCUUUCUAGAGUCUUUGCCUUAAAAACGGGUAUCCUGGGGGUCUUGGUAAAGAGAUGCGAUGCAUUUUAUGGUCCCAAUUUUGGCGGGCCGCGCCCGAAGGUCGCUCCUCCGCGCACUGCCCGGAGAGCUCAAUCCAGCGAGGGGAAGCCCAGGCGCUGAAACCCUGGAGAAAAGGGAUUUAGUUUUAAGCCAGUCUCCCAUCGAUCGGGUCGGUAAUUCCUACCCCUGCCCACUCACAGACACACUCACCUCUACUCUAAAGCAUUAAGUUCAUUACGUGAGCAAUGAUCUUUAUAUCCAGUUGGAAAACGAGUCCCGGGACCUCGCCGAUUGGGGAAGCAGUGAAUAAAGUCACCUGCUCCCGCAUCCGCCCGGCCGGCUCCUCCGUGGCAGGGCGGAAUGCGCAGGGGUCCCGCGCUCCAAGCUGGAGCGUUUCCCGCAGGGGUCAGGGAAGCCUGUGCCUGCUGUCUUCGGGUUGGCGACCUUCUCGAAGGGUGGGAUUGCCCUCGUCGACUUUCUUCCUCCCCUCCCUUCUAUUUUCUUCUUGGGGGCCCCCUCUCACCUCCGCGUUUUCUUCCUGCUCCUUUCCCCAAAGUGGCGAGCGCCCCUUCCCUUCCAAGAGUCCCCUGGCUGUGCCCCCACCCUGACCUCUCCCCGCAGCCGCAGGUCCGGGUAACCCAUCACCUUUUCGUUCCCGCCUGCUUCACCCACCAGCCUUGACCUCUGUGGAUGGGGAUCGCUUAGCGAAGCCCUCUUGAAGCUACUUGCUGAGGGCACCCUGGGGCUUUAAACAACCCGAUUCCUCCAUCUAGGAGAGAUCCCUGUGCCCAAUGAUACUUCCAUCUCAAAGAAAGCCAGCGAAGCGGCAAACACCCCUCGCAGCCGCCUGCUCCCCAUCCCCCCCCCCCCCCUCCCCCCCCCCCACACCCCCCCCCCAAAGCCAUUAGAGCAGACGGACACUUAUCUGCAGUGUCUGGCACUGCGGGGAGAUGGAGGUGAGCCACGCGCCCCCUUCCUUACUGGCCGACCCACGAGGCGCCAGCUUGUUCUGGAGACUCAGUUUCCACCGGACAAUCGUGAAAGCGGGGAAAACACAACGCAGUGGUGUGUAAACCCACUUUCCCGCGCCCUCCCCCCAUCUGAUUUUCAAGACGUGCAUUUUCAGGUAGUCCUAAAGAGUGAACAGCGAGCUUUGUGUGUUAUCUAGUGGGGGUGGGGAUGGAAGAGGAGGAGACUCCCACCGCUCGCUCCAGUCUUUAAUGUCUGAAAUAACGAAAUGCCUGUGUGGCAGCUGCUGCUAGAGCCAAAACUAACUCUUUGGAAGACGGAAAAGAGUGAAAGGCAAAGAAAGACUGUUCAUUUUUUUUCCUUUGGUGCCGUUUGGGAUGUCAUCUGUUUCCUUGGCGACUGUGUUCAGUCCCCGGAGCCCCUGGGCUCCUGGAUUGUUAGGGGGGAAAAAGCAUGCUAUUUCUGCACCGUCAUUUAUCACUGUCACAGCAUAAUGAUUCCCCUUGCAGCCCCUUAUUGAUGUUUGUAAUUGCAUUAUCUCAUAAAGGAGGAUGAUCAAUGAAACCGAGCCGUGCAUUCUGGGGUCAGAGGAAGCCAAAGUACUGUUUGUCCCCUUUAAUACAACAAGUACUCAUUAUCUUUAGGUCUGCAUUCAAAAAAUGAUCUGAUCUGGGUCUGACCCUGUCGGACAUCCCAACACUUUUUAAAACGCGGUUUGUGUAACCUUUUGCUUAAAUGCUAAAUCAAGUACCUGUCUUGCAUUUCAACGAAACAAGACUCUAAAAUUGAAUGGGAAAAGCAUUUUUUUCUUUCUUUCUGCCCCCCACCCCCACCCCCGGUCCGGUAAGGCGGUCUGAGGAUGCAUGUGAUUUUACACUGUAACUGCUCAGUGAUAUAAUGUAGAAAAAGCAACCCCCAUCAGUAAGGGACCCAAGUAAUCUAAUGAAUGAAAAAAUUGGGGUGAGGGGGGAAAAGGUAUCUGGGAGCAUUUAACAAGGUCGGUAUUAAAAGAUCAGAAUAAACCCACACCCUGUUUAAUUAAUAAGAGCUAUAAACUGAAAUAAUUCCCCAUGAUUCUGCCCUUGCUUCUCCCCUUUACAGAGUCAUAUCUCUUUGGUUUAGAUAAAUGACUUUUGUGCCUGUUCGAUUCUCACAACAACAAUAACUAAAUCAGUUGCACGCUCUGUAUCUAAAACUGUCUACAAACUCCAGCAAAUAAAAAGGAGUUCAUUUGUCUAUUAAGGCAAGUAUUUAGUUGAGCAGAAAUGUCCCAGUAACACUGAAUGGAGUUCAUGUAAUCCCAAGAAAAUCAAGUCAUCUUGUUGCACUGAAGUAAAUGAAAAAAUACAAAGGAGGAAAGGUCCAAGUGUAAUUUUAAACUAAGUGCAUUAUUGGAGUGUCAGAGUGAAAACUGUGCUUGUGUGGUUGGGAUGGAGGGAGUAGACUUCAACUUAGCUCACAUGUAACUGAAAGCUUUUAUCAAGGAAACAAUGAUGCCAAGUUUGGUUAUCAUUUUAAUUUGUGGAAAGAGGAGAAAUGGAGACAAUUUUAAUUCAUCAUCUCAAUAAAUUAGGGUAACUCCUUCAAAGACAAAAUUAAGCGAAGAAUUGACUUUUAACGUUGCAAACCUGUAUAACCAAAAAGAAAAGUUUCCAAUCUUCUGAAGGUGAAUUCUUCCAUGCUAAUAAAGCUACAAAAAAAAAAAAAAAAAAAAAAAAAAA